GCUCAGUGCGGCAACUGGAGCGGCGGCGGCGGCGGCGAGUGUAGCACGCUGCAGAGCGACUCCACGCACCUGACCGUGCUGGCGCCGUCCGAGCACGCGCCGCCCACCGACUCGGACGACGACCUCAACCAGAUCCGGCCCGCUCACUAGCCGACGAACGCUGGUGGCAAGCGCACGAGCGAGGUGAGCAAUCAUUUCCCAUUCUAUGUAUCCAGUAUUAUUGUGAAGCACUCAUAUUUAUUAGUGGUUAUAAUUAUUAAUCGUAUUUGUAUUUAAUGUGAUUUUAUUAUUGUAUUAUCAAUUACAAUUGACGUGUAUAAGUCAAUUGGGGGUUCAAGAUAUUUUGACUUUGAUAAUUGUAUACCUGUUUUAACAAUAUACAUUUCGCUGACCUGACACUGCCAUAGUGCGAUAAUAAAAUCAAUGUAACGCAGCGACAGUAAUUCACUUUGUUGCACAUGUAGGUAGGUAGGUAGUACAUAGAUACGUACAGCUUUGGUCAGAAGUAUUACGUAUUGUUUUUUUAUAAAACGUUAAAAUAUAGUUCAUAUUUAUUUGACAUUUGACAAUGAAUAAUAUUUCACAGAAAAACGUGAUAUCAACAGUUUUUUAUCUACAAGACGAGGUACCUUCGUAAAAUAUACUAUUGACCAAGGCUGCGAAACUCGAAAUUACACUUAGUGGAGUGUUUCAAAAUAUUCCUCGUACUUCUAUUCUAUCAUAAAACCGAAUAAGGUGAGGAUCAGAUAUGGGUACUUUAAGAUGCGACUCAUUUUUACUACAUUACUUAUCCUUUUUUAAUGUGAGUACAUCGAGAUUUGCUGUAUUACGUAACGGGCUUGAACCUCAAUUGUAAGAUAUGGUUGUGUUGUGUUUGUAAGUUAUUUUCCCGAAGUGUAAUUUGAAAGGUGACAAAUACGUCGUAGUUUGAGUAAAAGGUGCGUUCGGAUUAUUAGCUAAUUUAAUGUCAGAUAUCAAACUUCACGUGCAAAUAAGUGAGGCCUAAAUUGUUUCCACUGACAAUGUCUAGAAUGAGAUGUUUAUAAUGAUGAGGCCUACUUGAACGAUAUGCUUAAUGCUGAGAAAACUAUGCACAAAACUGCGUAAUUUGAAGGUUGAUAAUCUAGAUUUUUCGAUGUUUGAUAUUUAUUACUUUAUUAUUACAAAUAUUAAGAAUCACUUCUCAUUUAUUACAAUUUUCGGCUUUGUUAAGUUGGCAUUUUAGGAUUUUUUUGAAUUCUAUGUUCAAUGACAGGAAUAUAAUAAAAAAUAAAUAUACUUUAACUGUCCAUUUUUAUAGAAAGAAAGCUUUAAUUUUUAGUCUUUUUUUGAAAGCACAUUGCGAUUUGGAUGUGAUGAACGGGUAAACUCUUAAAAGAGUAUAGAAUAAGUGAAAGUAUGUAAUAAAAUUAUAUUUUACACGAAAAAAAAUGUAUAAAAUGAAUCGGUGAAUCGUGACAUGUUCAGAAACAGGUUUGUUAUGUUUUAAAUAUUUAUUGGUAAUUCAUAUUUAUGUUGGUUGAUGCAAAGCAUUACACGUAGCACUGGGCUCCAAGUUCGAUAUUGUUAGAAUAACCGCAACAUUGUUUUCAAUAGGGAAUAUUACGCAAAACUCUGCGCAGACGGCGUCACUAACAUAAACACUGGGACUACCGCGAAACACGGAAAUCCAAAGUUCAGUUUCUGUCUCUUCUCUUGCAUAUUCCAUAGAUAGAGAGGCAGGUAACGAAAUUUCAAUUUUCGAGUUCGCGGCAGGCCUCCUGUAAACAAACCGCCUUGAUGCAUCAAUUUCAUAGUAAAAACUUGUCAAAAAACUGUUUAAGGCACAGUAUGUAUAGGUUACUCUAUGGUUUAGGAUGUGCGCUAGUGCUGCACCCUGGCGGCAGAAUAUUGCAGUAAUACUCCCUAAUACUAGCUGCUGGCCUAUUGAUGUCUGCUCCCCGCGCGUCCAACCACCACUCUACCAAAGAGGAAGGCCUGGCGGCGGGUACCGGGCACCCAACCGGUCGAAGUGGCAUGUGACCAGUAGCUGUAGCGGUAGCGAUCAGCUCCAUUAGCUUGUGAUAACUAUAUUUUUCGCCAAAGUUUAUUUUAGUUGAUUUGUUGAUUAAAGCUCAAAAAUAUUUUUUGAUACUGUGGUUAUUAUAUCUCAAAGAGCAACUAAUUCGUUUGCAAUUAUAUUGAUUAGUCAGUACAUUUAGUUAUAUCAAUAUCAAUCAAUUGUCAAGUAAAAUCGAGCUAUAUCGACUACGGAAUAAGAAGUAUGUACAUAAAUCUAAAUUGUAUAAUAGAUAGAGGUAGCUAGCAUUAGAAAAGGUAAGUUGGCGUUUGACGUUCAGCAAUUCUUCUAUUUAGAACUUUGUCCACUUUAUCGCUCAAUUUCUAGUCUUAUUAUUUAAAAUCAACUUUAUUAAUAUUACUUAGUUACAAGGCUUUAAAGCUCUACUUGACAAUCUUUUAACUGUAUAAAGCGUAAUAUUUACAUUUUUAAGUUUAAGUGUAAUUUUAUUUAUUUAUGUCUACCAGUGUUUCGUUUCUGUUCUUGAUCACGUGCUUCCGUUCCGUGCAAUUGUGACUUGUUUGAGCAAUUAUUAAAAUUGAAUAAUUAGAUGGCCGAGAGAAAUUCAUGGUCACAUUCUGCAAACUUUAUUUGUGUGACGGUCACCCGUAAUACGUUUACUGUUAGUUUUUUGAAUAGUGUGCACUUCAUCCGCAGGAUAACUUUGAUGAUCGUUCGAUACGUUUGUCUAAUACUAAUUGCAAGUAGAUAACGUCAGUGUGACCAACAAUGUGUUAUUUGUCUGGUGACAAAAUUAUAUUUGCUGCAAUUACCGUCGAAUCGUAAAUAUACUGAAGCUAACUAUAAAAGUAUAAACCUGACGUUAAUACAACUGCCACAAAUAUUCUAAUUAAGUAUAAUAGAAGCAGAACAAAAUGUAUAUCUAACCUGUGAGAUAAAUAAGAUUAUCUAAUUGCCCAGUCUGAUAUGUUUGACAUUUUAAAUUAUUAAUUAUACCUUCGUUAAUAUUUUUUUUAUUGUAAAAACCUAUAGUAUGACUGUUUUGGUAAUUUACAUUCCUUUUAUUAUUUACUUUUUGUUUUAUUUGAAUAUAGCUAUAGAUAGCCUAACCUGUAGGUAUCUAGCUAGAGUAGUCAUUUAAAUAUAAAGUAAUACGUCCUACAGGUAUCUUACAAUUCUUUUAGUCGGGUUCUAAUAAUGUUAUAUUGCUCAGAUUUAUGCAUUUCGCCUCCAAAUUAUUGAACUGCAGAUAUUUCCGACGAGUCUGACAGUACCUAGUCGUAACUUAAGGGGCCCACUGAUUACCAGUCCGCCAGCAGUCUCUGGCCUUAUCGGGAGGCCCGCCGUCCUAGGCCAAUAACUUCCACAUGAGGGAUUAUUGUCUGCCGACAACGGCCUGCUGCCACCUUUGCAUUUGAGAGUCGUCAGUUUUAACGGUAACGCCGGUAACGGAUGUAAAUUUGACGGGGCCCUAUAAAUUGACAGUUCGCCGGACGAUAUCAGCCUGACAGUUUGUCGCAACAGAGCCCACACCUUUACAGUUCUAUUUCAGACCACGGACUGUCCGGCCGAUAUCCGUCGGCGCUGACCGAAUACAUCCAGCGGCCACACACUAUCGGUUCUUGUUAGCCGUCAGACGGAAAUCUGAACGAGAACUGUUAGUGUGCGGCCUCUUCCGAUUAACUGACUGGCUGAUAUCUUCCGGCGAACUGGUAAUCAGUGGACCCCUUUACACCUAUACACCUAGUAAUAAUAAUUACCCAUAUAUCAAUAACAUCUAUUUUAGUUAUCUAUCUGCCUAGCCACAGCUAAGACUGCUUCGACUAAAAAUUUUGUAGUUCAAUAUCCCGCUGGCGUAAGUCCUAUGUUAUGUCGCUAAUCUUAAAAACGAUUGACAGUUAUUACCCACGUAUGAACUAUUUCAAAAGUAUACACACCCCGAUGAAGGCGAUGUUUCUUUAUUAAGUAUCCAUGGAUUUUAUAAAAUAAAAUGGAUGUUAGCAAUAGCUGUAAGCAUUUAAACAAAUUGGUCGUUAUCAUGGAAAACGCACGAGAUCCAUUUCUAAUUAGUAAUCAUUUCUAAAUAGUUUCUUAGGUAAGUAAAUAUAUAUUAAGAAACAAGAGUAAACCUAAAGGUUUACCCUAAAAACGAUCUUUGACUGCGUAGGCCGGUUUUAAAACUAUGUCUGUCGAUUGCAAUGUUUGAUUUGAAGCUAGCGUUAAGCAUGUUGUACCUUUUAAGGAAACCGCAUAAAAGCUAAGAAAUAUGUAGCCCUUUGGCCUUACACGCGCCGUUGUCGAGAAUACAUGGACAACUUUAAUUUCAUGUUGCGUGACCAUUUUAAUAAUAUAUUGGGUAUUGGUUUAAGGCCUGUACACACCGGCUGCGUGUGCGUGACGUGCACGUGCGGCGUUGUAGUAUACAGAUCCUUAUGAGAGAUGGCACACCGCUUGCGUGACGUGUGUGUGUGCGUGCGGCUCCAACAUUUUAGCGCACGCACACGCGCACGUCACGCACACGCAAGCCGGUGUGGCUCGGCCUUUAUAUAGGAUUUUUUUUUGAUGAUUGAUGAUGAUUUUACAUUUUAUGAUUUUUUAUAGUUUUGCUAAAUUAAGUAAUCCCAUAAUGAUUACCCUUGAUAUCGUCUAUAUCUCGUAUAUCUACAUGUCUGACUGAGUCCUAUUCUUAGAUUUAUUUAUUUGGCCUCAAGGGUACGGCUUUUGGGUUAGUAAAACGUAUAUUUGACAAUAUGUAUGUUGAAGAUUCAUGUCAGGAGGACAAACUAGUGGAGGCUCAUAUUGUUUUAGAGAGCAACGAAUGAGGACGUCGGAGUUUUACACUCAUAACAGCAGUGACAUUCACUUCCACUAGUUUAGUCUCCUAUGUACUAUUGUCCUCAUCUUGAUUCUGUAUGGUACUGCGUGAUGUGAUAUAUCAGAAGAUUGUACUAAGUAGAUAUAAGCAAUGUCGGUUUAGUACCGAAUCGUGGACUGUGGGUCCCUUCUUGCCAAUAAUGUAAUUUACGGACGUUAUUUUAAUAAAUAAUUUGUCGUCGUA